rnacentral:rRNA from 1 species
UCGACGGAUCCUAUUGAACCUAGUGAUGUAUGGAUUAGUGGCGGACGGGUGAGUAACGCGUGGAUAACCUGCCGUAUACAGGGGGAUAACACUUAGAAAUAGGUGCUAAUACCGCAUAAGCGCACGGUUCCGCAUGGAACAGUGUGAAAAACUCCGGUGGUAUACGAUGGAUCCGCGUCUGAUUAGCCAGUUGGCGGGGUAACGGCCCACCAAAGCGACGAUCAGUAGCCGGCCUGAGAGGGUGAACGGCCACAUUGGGACUGAGACACGGCCCAAACUCCUACGGGAGGCAGCAGUGGGGAAUAUUGCACAAUGGGGGAAACCCUGAUGCAGCGACGCCGCGUGAGUGAAGAAGUAUCUCGGUACGUAAAGCUCUAUCAGCAGGGAAGAAAAUGACGGUACCUGACUAAGAAGCCCCGGCUAACUACGUGCCAGCAGCCGCGGUAAUACGUAGGGGGCAAGCGUUAUCCGGAUUUACUGGGUGUAAAGGGAGCGUAGACGGCAGCGCAAGUCUGGAGUGAAAUGCCGGGGCCCAACCCCGGAACUGCUUUGGAAACUGUGCAGCUCGAGUGCAGGAGAGGUAAGCGGAAUUCCUAGUGUAGCGGUGAAAUGCGUAGAUAUUAGGAGGAACACCAGUGGCGAAGGCGGCUUACUGGACUGUAACUGACGUUGAGGCUCGAAAGCGUGGGGAGCAAACAGGAUUAGAUACCCUGGUAGUCCACGCCGUAAACGAUGAUUACUAGGUGUCGGGGGGCCAAGGCCCUCCGGUGCCGCCGCAAACG